UUAUAAGCAAAACUUUGCAUUUUAGAUUCAUUCAUUAAAUGAUAUAUGUGGUAUACCACAUAUAUCAUUUAAUGAAUGAAUCUAAAAUGCAAAAUUUUGCUUAUAG
rfam:Medicago truncatula strain A17 chromosome 3, whole genome shotgun sequence.